AUUGAACGCUGGCGGAAUGCUUUACACAUGCAAGUCGAGCGGCAGCGCGGCCUUCGGGCUGGCGGCGAGCGGCGAACGGGUGAGUAAUGCAUCGGAACAUGCCCAGUCGUGGGGGAUAACACUUCGAAAGAAGUGCUAAUACCGCAUACGUCCUGAGGGGGAAAGCGGGGGAUCGCAAGACCUCGCGCGAUUGGAGUGGCCGAUGUCAGAUUAGCUAGUUGGUGGGGUAAAGGCCUACCAAGGCGACGACCUGUAGCUGGUCUGAGAGGAUGAUCAGCCACACUGGGACUGAGACACGGCCCAGACUCCUACGGGAGGCAGCAGUGGGGAAUUUUGGACAAUGGGGGCAACCCUGAUCCAGCCAUUCCGCGUGAGUGAAGAAGGCCUUCGGGUUGUAAAGCUCUUUCGGCAGGAACGAAACGGUGGGCUCUAACAUAGUCCGCUAAUGACGGUACCUGAAGAAGAAGCACCGGCUAACUACGUG
rnacentral:rRNA from 1 species